rnacentral:rRNA from 1 species
CCUACGGGUGGCAGCAGUCGAGAAUCAUUCACAAUGGGGGAAACCCUGAUGGUGCGACGCCGCGUGGGGGAAUGAAGGUCUUCGGAUUGUAAACCCCUGUCAUGUGGGAGCAAAUUAAAAAGAUAGUACCACAAGAGGAAGAGACGGCUAACUCUGUGCCAGCAGCCGCGGUAAUACCGAGGUCUCAAGCGUUGUUCGGAAUCACUGGGCGUAAAGCGUGCGUAGGCUGUUUCGUAAGUCGUGUGUGAAAGGCGCGGGCUCAACCCGCGGACGGCACAUGAUACUGCGAGACUAGAGUAAGGGAGGGGGAGCCGGAAUUCUCGGUGUAGCAGUGAAAUGCGUAGAGAUCGAGAGGAACACUCGUGGCGAAGGCGGGUUCCUGGACAUUAACUGACGCUGAGGCACGAAGGCCAGGGGAGCGAAAGGGAUUAGAUACCCGAGUAGUC